CUACGGGCUGCACCAGUGAGGAAUAUUGCACAAUGGGGGGAACCCUGAUGCAGCAACGCCGCGUGGAGGAUGACGCAUUUCGGUGUGUAAACUCCUUUUAUAUGUCAAGAAAAUGACGGUAGCAUAUGAAUAAGCACCGGCUAACUCCGUGCCAGCAGCCGCGGUAAUACGGAGGGUGCAAGCGUUACUCGGAAUCACUGGGCGUAAAGGACGCGUAGGCGGGCUUGUAAGUCAGGUGUGAAAUCCUACAGCUUAACUGUAGAACUGCACUUGAAACUACGAGCCUAGAGUAUGGGAGGGGAGGUGGAAUUAGUGGUGUAGGGGUAAAAUCCGUAGAUAUCACUAGGAAUACCUAAAGCGAAGGCGAUCUCCUGGAACAUAACUGACGCUAAGGCGUGAAAGCGUGGGGAGCAAACAGGAUUAGAUACCCUAGUAGUC
rnacentral:rRNA from 1 species